rnacentral:rRNA from 1 species
GUGCAGCAGUCGAGAAACCUCCGCAAUACACGAAAGUGUGACGGGGCCAUCCCGAGUGCCGUCCGCUGAGGACGGCUUUUCCCCAGUGUACAUAGCUGGGGGAAUAAGGAGAGGGCAAGCCUGGUGUCAGCCGCCGCGGUAAUACCAGCUCUCCGAGUGGUGGGGACGCUUAUUGGGCCUAAAGCAUCCGUAGCCGGCUAGGCAAGUCCUCCGUUAAAUCCAACGAUUCAAUCGUUGGGCUGCGGGGGAUACUGUCCAGCUUGGGGGCGGGAGAGGCCGACGGUAUUCCCCGGGGUAGGGGUGAAAUCCGUAUAAUCCCGGGAGGACCACCAGUGGCGAAGGCUGUCGGCUAGAACGCGCCCGACGGUGAGGGAUGAAAGCUGGGGGAGCGAACCGGAUUAGAUACCCCC